ACCGGUGGUUGCCACACCGGCUCGCCUUUUAGUUACCCCCUUCCUUCAACCCCAAUGGCUCUAUAAUGCAUACGAGAAGGCAAUUUUCCACUACCUUUUUUCUCGUGCGUUGAGUUGUCAUUUGCCGAGCUUCUUUUCGGCCCUUGUGUCAUUCGGAGGUACUCGGUUGCCAUCGCAUCGACCCAUCUUUUUCGUCCGUGGCCGCAG
rnacentral:lncRNA from 1 species